rnacentral:lncRNA from 1 species
GCUGUUCUGUCUAAUAUGUAUGUAUGGUAAUAGUUAUAACUUAUAACUACUGACUCCUUUUACUGACCUCCUUGUGUACAUUUAGUUGCAGUGCCUUCAUAGUAGAGAAUCAUAUAGAUGGCAAAACAGCAUAGAAAUAGUUAUUCUCUGUUCCAUCAAGAAUGUUCUCAUCCAGCUUGUCUCAAAUAGUGAAAAGUGUAAUUAUUGGAAACAGCCUCUCUGCCCUUUCGGGUAGGGGUAAGGCUCGUCUACAUGUUACCCUCCCC